rnacentral:rRNA from 1 species
GACGUAGGGGGCCAGCGUUGUUCGGAAUUACUGGGUGUAAAGGGUUCGUAGGCGGUGCGGCAAGUUGGGAGUGAAAUCUCUGGGCUUAACCCAGAGGCUGCUUCCAAAACUGCUGUGCUUGAGUGUGGGAGAGGCGCGUGGAAUUGCAGGUGUAGCGGUGAAAUGCGUAGAUAUCUGCAGGAACACCCGUGGCGAAAGCGGCGCGCUGGACCACUACUGACGCUCAUGCACGAAAGCGUGGGGAGCAAACAGG